CGCGAAUUCGCCCUUGCACCAGGCGCGAAACCUUUAAAUGCUGGCAACAGCGAUAGGGGGACCUCGAGUGCCAGGUUACAAAUCUGGCUGUCGUUGUGUCUAAAAAACACGAUAUAGCAAGGGCCGGGCAAGACCGGUGCCAGCCGCCGCGGUAACACCGGCGGCUCGAGUGGUAACCGUUAUUAUUGGGUUUAAAGGGUCUGUAGCCGGCCUGGUUAGUCCUUUGGGAAAUCCGGCAGCUCAACUGUCGGGCUUUCAGAGGAUACUGCCAGGCUCGAGACCGGGAGAGGUAAGAGGUACUUCAGGGGUAGGGGUGAAAUCUUGUAAUCCUUGAAGGACCACCAGUGGCGAAGGCGUCUUACCAGAACGGAUCUGACGGCAAGGGACGAAAGCUAGGGGCACGAACCGGAUUAGAUACCCGGGUAGUCCUAGCCGUAAACGAUACUCGCUAGGUGUCGGCCACGGUGCGACCGUGGUCGGUGCCGUAGGGAAACCGUGAAGCGAGCCACCUGGGAAGUACGGCCGCAAGGCUGAAACUUAAAGGAAUUGGCGGGGGAGCAC
rnacentral:rRNA from 1 species